rnacentral:rRNA from 1 species
GGUCAAGCUACAAAGGGCGCAUGGUGAAUGCCUUGGCACUAGGAGCCGAAGAAGGACGCGAUAAGCUGCGAUAAGCCUUGGGUAGCCGCAAAUAGGCUGAGAUCCAGGGAUUUCCGAAUGAGGAAACUCACAUGGGUAACCCCAUGUAUCAUGCACUGAAUACAUAGGUGUAUGAGGGUAAACCCGGGGAACUGAAACAUCUAAGUACCCGGAGGAAGAGAAAGAAAAAUCGA